UGCAGUCGAUUCGAUUUACCUUCGGGUAAUGAGGAUGGCGGACGGGUGAGUAACGCGUAAGGAACUUGCCUCUUGGACUGGGACAACUGUUGGAAACGACAGCUAAUACCGGAUAUUAUGAGAUUCUCGCAUGAGAAACUUAUGAAAGCUAUAUGCGCCAAGAGAGAGCCUUGCGUUCCAUUAGCUAGUUGGUGGGGUAACGGCCCACCAAGGCGACGAUGGAUAGCCGGCCUGAGAGGGUGAACGGCCACAAGGGGACUGAGACACGGCCCUUACUCCUACGGGAGGCAGCAGUGGGGAAUAUUGGACAAUGGACCAAAAGUCUGAUCCAGCAAUUCUGUGUGCACGAUGAAGGUCUUCGGAUUGUAAAGUGCUUUCAGUUGGGAAGAAGAAAGUGACGGUACCAACAGAAGAAGCGACGGCUAAAUACGUGCCAGCAGCCGCGGUAAUACGUAUGUCGCAAGCGUUAUCCGGAUUUAUUGGCGUAAAGCGCGUCUAGGCGGAAAAAUAAGUCUGAUGUUAAAAUGCGGGGCUCAACUCCGUAUUGCGUUGGAAACUGUUUUUCUAGAGUACUGGAGAGGUGGGC
rnacentral:rRNA from 1 species